UAGGCCCCCUUUCCCUCCUCCCCUCGCGGCCUCGCCUCACAUCUCGUUUCCUGUCCCGUGCAAUCUACGCCUGAAAUCGAAUGGAGUCGCCGUUGACUUCUUCGCCGCUUCCGGAGUCUGCGCCGCCCCGCGAUGUCAUCUACGUCUUCUGGCACGAGGGGAUGCUCGACCACGACACUGGCUCUGGCGUCUUCGACACAGGAUUCGAUCCAGGGUUCCUCGAGGUCCUUGAUAAGCACCCGGAGAACGCCGACCGGGUGAGGAACAUGGUCUCGAUCCUCCGCAAGGGCCCCCUCGCCCCCUUUAUCUCAUGGCACUCCGGUCGCCUUGCCCAUCACUCGGAACUUCACUCCUUUCACACGCCUGAGUACAUUGAAGAACUGGUGCAAGCUAAUGUAGCUGGACAUAAAGAACUCUGUGUGGGCACAUUCAUGAAUCCUGGUUCGUGGGGUGCUGCUCUGUUGGCUGCUGGAACCACAUUAUCGGCGAUGAAGCAUAUAUUAGAUGGAAACGCAAACCUCACUUAUGCCCUAGUGCGCCCCCCAGGUCACCAUGCACAGCCUAGUAGAGCAGAUGGUUAUUGCUUCUUAAACAAUGCUGGGCUUGCUGUACAACUUGCUCUAGAUUCCGGCUGCAGAAAAAUUGCUGUAAUUGAUAUUGACGUGCAUUAUGGGAAUGGUACGGCAGAAGGUUUCUAUCACUCAGGCAAUGUCCUUACAAUCUCCCUUCACAUGAAUCAUGCUUCUUGGGGACCAUCACAUCCACAGGAUGGUUCUAUCCAUGAGCUAGGUGAAGGAAGUGGGUUUGGCUAUAAUCUGAACAUACCAUUGCCCAAUGGGACAGGUGAUGAGGGCUAUGGUUAUGCAGUGACUGAACUGGUUGUUCCAGCUAUUCAAAAAUUUGAACCCAAUCUUAUUGUUCUGGUUGUGGGGCAAGAUUCUAGUGCGUUUGAUCCAAAUGGAAGGCAAUGCCUGACAAUGGCUGGUUAUAGGAAGAUUGGUGAAGUAGUACGCAUGUUGUCCGAAAGGCAUUCAAGGGGACGCAUAUUAAUUGUCCAAGAAGGAGGUUACCAUGUCACAUACUCAGCAUACUGUCUCCAUGCGACUUUAGAAGGUGUACUCGGCGUUCAAACCCCUCUACUUUCUGAUCCAAUUGCAUAUUACCCUGAAGACAAGGCUUUCUCUUUUAAGGUUGUGGAUGCGAUCAAGCAAUACUGGAAAGAAUGUAUCCCUUUCCUGAAAUAAUUCUAGCAUUGCUUUCAUGAACCGAUACUAGCAAGCCCGGCCAAUCCGGCUCUUUUAGGGCUAAAUGUUGGUGGUGGCAUCGAGGUGAAGCUUCGGUUGAGGUGGCCUGGCGGGAAAUGGGAUUUCUUCCCGUUCGAGCAAGUUCUUGAUACAAUGGUCCAUGAGCUGUGCCACAUCAUGCAUGGGCUGCACAAUGCCUUGUUCUAUACAAUCUGGGAUGAGUUGCGCAAGGAAUGUGAUGAACUGGUUGCAAAGGGGAUAACUGGAACUGGACAAGGAUUUGACACUCUUGGAAGACGCUUAGGUGGCUUCUCUGUCCAGCCUGCAGUAUCGUCGCUCCGGCAAGCUGCAGUUGAUGCUGCAGCAAAACGAGCUCGCACUGGGGCUUUGCUACCAUCUAGACCAAACAGAUUAGGUGGAAACAGUGAAAUCAUGGGUGCGCUUAGUCCAAUACAAGCUGCUGCCAUGGCUGCAGAGCGAAGAUUGUAUGAUGAUAUAUGAUGUGGAUCUGUGUCAGAAGAAAUCAAUGUAAUAGAAAGUAUCAUUGAAAUUUCUAAGCAUCCUGCUCCUGAAAUAGGUCAGUCAUCAAAUUCUAAUGGGGAAAAGAAAGGGGAUUUGGGUGGUACUGGUAAAAUUGAGAAAGGAUGGACCAAAUUGCACAUUAAAGGCAAGGGUGAAGAGUAUACAUCUAAUAUCACCUUUGAUAGGGCAACAACGCCAGGUGGGUCAAUGUCACCUUACCCCAAACACGAUACAGACGAUAAGGUUAUUUGGGAGUGCAGCAAAUGCACUCUAUGCAAUCAACCUCUGGGACUAACAUGUGAAGCUUGUGGUGCCCCAAAACCAAAAGCAGCUGAGUCUACAUUUAAGACCUGGUCGUGCAAAUUUUGUACUCUAGAGAACAACACUAAGCAAGACAAAUGUUCAGCUUGUUGCCAAUGGAGAUAUUCAUAUGGCCCACCUUUAGAUACUUAGAUUGCCAUAGAGUCAGUUAUGGAGCUUGAGUGAUCUGCUUCAUAUAUACUAAGUGCCAGAUGAGCUGUGUAUGAUAUUUUUCUAAGAUGUUACUUGUGUUUCCGCCAUGACAACCUCAUUUUGAAAUACUUCAUAGCACUUUUUAGGCUUUUAUC